rnacentral:lncRNA from 1 species
CAAAAUAUAAAUUUAUUCUUACAAGCUUACACGUCAUUGGUGUCUCAUUACUCAAACUAGUACGUAUAUAACAAGCCAAGUGCUGAUGAUAACUCCCUCCGUCUCUCAACCUGGAAUCCUGGCCUUACCACUAGCCUGAGGGUCAUCGCUACCAACCUUCUCUGCUUUCACUGGAAAGAACAUAGAAUUUCGCAAGAGUGAGCUAACAAGCUCAGCAAGUAUAACAAUAUCCAUUUAAACAUUUAUCAAAAGAUGAUGGAAAUCAAUAUUUAAUAGAAUCAAUCUCAAUGUCAAAGUUUCUUUUUAGAGUUUCAAUUAGAAUUGGAUAUUAAAUUUUAUUUUUAAAAACCAAAGGUUAGGCUGCUGAUCAGUCAGACACUAACCCCGAGCAGGCCCCGCCAUGCUCGUUUACUGGAUCCAAGGCACACAUUGGCCUAAAGUGACCACUCAUCUGGUCUGACCAUUCAUUUGGUCCAUUUAAGAAAAACUAUCCAAUUCUAUUAUAAAUCAGGAUGAAUAACAAUAUAAUGCAAUAAACAGAAUCAUUAAGAACAUGAUUAAAUUUUGGAGCAGAAACAGAAUUCAUUUCAGCAAUAUCUUUAAGAUAUUCUACAAUAAGAAUCAGGAAUAAUUCCACGAGUCAAAGGAUCAGAUAUAGCAUAUCUGGAUUUCAAGUGAAACAAUAGUCAUGGUCUGUAUGAAAGAAGGUUUCUGGUUUUAUUAAAGAAUUCACAUGUCAAAAGGGUGUUUUCAAGUCCAAAGAAAUUAGGUUAUUGAAAAGGAAUCACAAUUGUGGGGUGUAUGGUAUUCCAGGUAUGAUUGACUUCCAGUCAAUUGGUUUGGAUAUCAAAGGUGUGUCAGAACAUUGAAAUAAGGUUUAUAUGGUAGUUAUCCAAAAAUCUCAAGGUUUGAAGGUUUACAAUUGAAUAAGGUUUCCAAAAUAGAUAUCAAAGAAUCAAGUUAAUGGCUCAAGAAUCAAUGAAUGAAUAGUUCAAGUGAUAGUCAAAGAAUCUGGUUGAUGGUUUAAGAAUCGAUGAAUUAAACAAUUCAUGAUAUGGCUCAAUAAGUGUCAUGAGUGAAUUAGAAAGCUCGCAAAGCAAUCACAUCAAGGAUCAUAUAUAUAUAAUUGAAGGAAAGUAUCAAGGAAACUUGCCUUAUACUGACGAUUUCAAAUUUCAAUCGCUCCUGCUCGAUAUACUAUUCUAUAUCCACUUGCUUUCCCUUUUAUUACGCCUCGCUUCUCUGC